GGUGAAAAGCACCCCGGAAGGGGAGUGAAAUAGAACCUGAAACCGUGUGCUUACAAGUAGUCAGAGCCCGUUAAUGGGUGAUGGCGUGCCUUUUGUAGAAUGAACCGGCGAGUUACGAUUUGAUGCAAGGUUAAGCAGUAAAUGUGGAGCCGUAGCGAAAGCGAGUCUGAAUAGGGCGUUUAGUAUUUGGUCGUAGACCCGAAACCAGGUGAUCUACCCUUGGUCAGGUUGAAGUUCAGGUAACACUGAAUGGAGGACCGAACCGACUUACGUUGAAAAGUGAGCGGAUGAACUGAGGGUAGCGGAGAAAUUCCAAUCGAACCUGGAGAUAGCUGGUUCUCUCCGAAAUAGCUUUAGGGCUAGCCUCAAGUGAUGAUUAUUGGAGGUAGAGC
rnacentral:rRNA from 1 species